GUUCGGGGGGUUCGCCAUUGUCGGUUGUGUCCUAUUUUAUAUCCUAAUGCCCGAGACGAGGGGGGAAACGUUGGACGAGAUCGGACAGCUGUUUGGUAGGUUGAGGAGGACCGCGGCGGCAAAUGAUGUGGAGCUGCAAAGGACGGAGGCUGCGGUGAGCAGCGAAUAAGGAAGCAUUACAUGAAAAGAGCAAAUAAAUGGAAUAAGGUUAAAACUGUGGCGCCGACGCAGAAAAUAAAUCCGACCAUCGUGGGGGUCGAUGAUCCUUUUAAAGUGAGAAGGCAGAUGAGCAUAAGAUUGAUAUAAUAUCGGAGGAAGCUUGUUUUAGAUAAGAGAAAGAAUGUAGAUGACGAGAAUGGCAAGGAUGGAAAAUAAAAUUCAGAAGGUACUGUCGACGCUAAACUUACCAGCAAGGCUUUAGUCUGGGCCUCCAAUGUCUUACCAGUUGAUGACAUUGUCUCGGAAAGAUGAUGAUUAAGCUUGAGGUUUUAAGCAAUCAGAAGAGAAUGAAUGACAAUAUCAAAUCUACUAAGCGCAGCCCCACCACCUCUAGUUUGGAGUGUAAACUUGAUGAGCUGCGAAAGGAAAUCUCUUCUAUUCAUGGGGGAGUAUUACCCCAGUCGGUCUUGACAAAAGUAUGAUUAGCGCCAGAAAACCCAGCUCAAUAGCAGAGGUUUAUGGAAUGCUGAUGGGUUGAUCUAUGUAUGAGGGCAUGCUAAUGAAAACAAGCAUCCUUUUUCCCUAACUAGAGCUGGAUUGGUUGGUAGCCAAAGGUAGGCAGCUACUUGGACUGCCGAUAACCUUUCAAACUGGGAGCACCUGCACAUGAGCAUCUCGAUGGUACUUC